rnacentral:pre_miRNA from 15 species
UUCUUGAACUGGAAGAGUGCCAUAAAAUCAUGACAAAGUACGUGAUAUUAUGCACAUUUUCUAGUUCAAGAC